AAUAGAUACCCAGGUAGUCCACGCCGUAAACGAUGAGUGCUAAGUGUUAGAGGGGUUUCCGCCCUUUAGUGCUGCAGCUAACGCAUUAAGCACUCCGCCUGGGGAGUACGGUCGCAAGACUGAAACUCAAAGGAAUUGACGGGGGCCCGCACAAGCGGUGGAGCAUGUGGUUUAAUUCGAAGCAACGCGAAGAACCUUACCAGGUCUUGACAUCCCACUGACCGGUAUAGAGAUAUACCUUUCCCUUCGGGGACAGUGGUGACAGGUGGUGCAUGGUUGUCGUCAGCUCGUGUCGUGAGAUGUUGGGUUAAGUCCCGCAACGAGCGCAACCCUUGAUCUUAGUUGCCAGCAUUUAGUUGGGCACUCUAAGGUGACUGCCGGUGACAAACCGGAGGAAGGUGGGGAUGACGUCAAAUCAUCAUGCCCCUUAUGACCUGGGCUACACACGUGCUACAAUGGAUGGUACAAAGGGCUGCAAGACUGCGAAGUCAAGCCAAUCCCAUAAAACCAUUCUCAGUUCGGAUUGCAGG
rnacentral:rRNA from 1 species